CAGGCCUAACACAUGCAAGUCGAACGAACCUUCGGGUUAGUGGCGGACGGGUGAGUAACGCGUGGGAAUCUGCCCUCAGGAGGGGGAUAACGGCCGGAAACGGCCGCUAAUACCCCAUAUGCCGAGAGGUGAAAUGAAUUUCGCCUGAGGAUGAGCCCGCGUCUGAUUAGCUAGUUGGUGAGGUAAGAGCUCACCAAGGCAUCGAUCAGUAGCUGGUCUGAGAGGAUGAUCAGCCACACUGGGACUGAGACACGGCCCAGACUCCUACGGGAGGCAGCAGUGGGGAAUUUUCCGCAAUGGGCGAAGGCCUGACGGAGCAACGCCGCGUGAGGGAUGAAGGCCUCUGGGCUGUAAGCCUCUUUUAUCAAGGAAGAAGAUCUGACGGUACUUGAUGAAUAAGCCACGGCUAAUUCCGUGCCAGCAGCCGCGGUAAUACGGGAGUGGCAAGCGUUAUCCGGAAUUAUUGGGCGUAAAGCGUCCGCAGGCGGCCCUACAAGUCUGCUGUUAAAAAGUGGAGCUUAACUCCAUCAUGGCAGUGGAAACUGUUGGGCUUGAGUGUGGUAGGGGCAGAGGGAAUUCCCGGUGUAGCGGUGAAAUGCGUAGAUAUCGGGAAGAACACCAGUGGCGAAGGCGCUCUGCUGGGCCAUCACUGACGCUCAUGGACGAAAGCCAGGGGAGCGAAAGGGAUUAGAUACCCCUGUAGUCCUGGCCGUAAACGAUGAACACUAGGUGUCGGGGGAAUCGACCCCC
rnacentral:rRNA from 1 species